rnacentral:lncRNA from 1 species
GGUCAAAAUUUUCCUGAUGAAAAUCUUGUACUGCUAUGAUUACCCUAAAUACGAUCCCUCAUUUCAUUCUCCUGCUGACGUAUGUGAUCUCAUAUAACACACCAACAAUUACACUUCUCGUCAGGUUAUCGUUGGGGUCCAUUGUAUAAUGUUGUUGACGAAGAAGUAGAAAGCAGUAAUUUAAAUUCCUUGCUGCGUCUCCAGGAAAUUUAACCGAGGCUGUGUACAGAUUUAACUGCAAUAU